rnacentral:lncRNA from 1 species
GUACAAUAGAGCUUAUAGGCUAAUGAGAAGACAGGAAGAAACAACAGGAACACAUAUAGCUGGAAUGCAGAUGGGAUCUGUGCUACUUACGCUAGCCAUGGGAUGAUUAGAACAAGAUAAGAGACAUGAGGAAGACUUCUUCAAGGAGGUGCUCAAGCCAUGUUUUGGAAAAGAGAACUCAAGGUCUGGCAGGGAGAAAGGAGCAAGGUCCCCAAGCAUGCUAACCAUGAAGCAGUGAUAUCGCACAGCACCUGCUUCCAGCAGCCCGGAGCCAAGGGGCAAAAUGGAAAGAGAAGACUGAAGAAACCUAAUCCUAGGUGCUGCCACUGGGACAAACAAGAAGCACCAGACACAGUGCUGUUUUAGGGUGGGGCAGAAUUAUGCUGAGGGAAAAGUUAUUAUCACUCUUUAAGGCCAAGGAAACCACAAUUUUUAAAGAAGCUUCUAGAAAUUCUACCCAGUAGAAAAUAAAGAUAAACUUCUGUAAGGAA